GCCAGUGCUCAGGGCAGGAGAGAAGCAGGGAUAAAGAUGCCAUUCAGACAAAUUGGAGCCAACGGGGGCAGGUGUUGGGGGGGGCACAAGUGGGAGGGGAGAAGGAACAUGUCUGCUGCCCUGGCAGCCAGUCCCUGCCUUUCCACUCCCUCAAUCCCCUUGGAACUUCUGGAUUCUCAGCUCUUGGCUUCCGCAAACCAAAAACUGAUCCACUUGGCCUCAUGGGGCUGGGCUCGCUCUCCCCGUCAUCUAAUUUCCUUCCCUGACAGCAUUUGGAGGCCUCGUUUUUCUUAUUUUACAUCUGUGAAAGGGGAGUGACGCUCUCUGCAUGACUCAACUUUGUCAGCAUGAAGAUUCAUCACUUUGGAAAGAUGAGUCCUCCCGAGUGCUAAGGGGUCGUGAGAGCCGCCGUCCAAUCUUACUUCAAGGGGCAUCACUGAGAUAAGUAGAGGAGAAUCCCAGAUCUUU
rnacentral:lncRNA from 1 species